rnacentral:misc_RNA from 1 species
CAUCAGGUGAACCUAUUAACUUUUUACAAAAAGGAAAAAAAAAUGCAUGUAUGAUCUUACUUUUAACAACUUAAUGACAGAACAAAGAAAAUUUCCCUCAUAAAUCCAUAGAAAAGAGAACAUUCAAGAGGGAUUAUUUUCUUCUAUGAAACAAAAUGUUUGCAUAACCAAAUAGUCUGAACAGGUUGGCCUUUUUUACCAUGUAAAAACUAAAUACAUACUAGCUCCAAAACACAUACCUCAGUAAUAAGCCUCAGUUGAUGAACAUAAUCUUUCCCAGGAAACAAAGGUUCUCUGGUCGUAAUUUCACCGAGGAUGCAACCAACAGACCAAAUA